GGUUCCAUUGCUCAGAUGGUCAGCACGUGGUGCUAAUAUUACCGGUGUUCGAAUGCUAACGCCAAGGUCGAGGGUUCGACCCCCUGUGGAACCA